UUAACUCAAAUCUGUAUGGAGUGGAACGUUAGCCUACGUUUGCCGCUAGGGGCGCUGUUCCAACUGCAUACAAAUAUUUACGGCA
rnacentral:pre_miRNA from 1 species